CUGGUAGGCCUGAGAGGUGCAGCCCAACGGUGUAGCUCAGGCUCCAGGCUUGGUUAUUCCUAGAAAAAUGAGGGAAAAAUAACUUUACAGUGGAAAAUCCCGCAGAUCAAGUGAUCUCAAAAUGCGGUUUUAUUAGAAGGGAUAAUCUGACAAAGCUGUCCGCUGCCUGGCAAAGAACAAUCAUUGUUAACGACCACAGCUUCUAAUCUGCAUGGAAUAUUAAUGUCACCACCCUGAGCAGCUGCAAUUCUAUGCCAAAGAAAGGAAUUUGACAUUUUAGUUGGACUGUGCAGCUUUA